AACGAACGCUGGCGGCAUGCCUAACACAUGCAAGUCGAACGAGACCUUUGGGUCUAGUGGCGCCCGGGUGCGUAACGCGUGGGAAUCUGCCCUUGGGUUCGGACUAACAGUGAGAAAUUGCUGCUAAUACCGGAUGAUGUCUUCGGACCAAAGAUUUAUCGCCCAGGGAUGAGCCCGCGUAGGAUUAGCUAGUUGGUGUGGUAAUGGCCUACCAAGGCGACGAUCCUUAGCUGGUCUGAGAGGAUGAUCAGCCACACUGGGACUGAGACACGGCCCAGAAUCCUACGGGAGGCAGCAGUGGGGAAUAUUGGACAGUCGGCGCAAGCCUGAUCCAGCAAUGCCGCGUGAGUGAUGGAGGUCUUAGGGUUGUAAAGCGCUUUUACCAGGGAUGAUAAUGACAGUACCUGGAGAAUAAGCUCCGGCUAACUCCGUG
rnacentral:rRNA from 1 species